rnacentral:tRNA from 3 species
GGGUUGGUAGCUCAGGGGUUAGAGCGCACGCCUGAUAAGCGUGAGGCCGGUGGUUCAAAUCCACCUCGACCCACCA